UACGUAGGGAGCAAGCGUUGUUCGGAUUUACUGGGCGUAAAGGGCGCGUAGGCGGCGCGGUAAGUCACUUGUGAAAUCUCUGAGCUUAACUCAGAACGGCCAAGUGAUACUGCAGUGCUAGAGUGCAGAAGGGGCAAUCGGAAUUCUUGGUGUAGCGGUGAAAUGCGCAGAUAUCAGGAAGAACACCCGUGGCGAAGGCGGCUCUCUGGUACGUGACUGACGCUGAGACGCGAAAGCGUGGGGAGCAAACAGG
rnacentral:rRNA from 1 species